rnacentral:rRNA from 1 species
AUUGAACGCUGGCGGCAGGCCUAACACAUGCAAGUCGAACGAGUGGCGGACGGGUGAGUAAUGUCUGUGAAACUGCCCGAUGGAGGGGGAUAACUACUGGAAACGGUAGCUAAUACCGCAUACCCUCGUAUGUGCCCAGAUGGGUGUAGCUAGGAGGUGGGGUAACGGCUCACCUAGGCGACGAUCUCUAGCUGGGCUGAGAGGAUGACCAGCCACACUGGAACUGAGACACGGUCCAGACUCCUACGGGAGGCAGCAGUGGGGAAUAGUGCACAAUGGGCGCAAGCCUGAUGCAGCCAUGCCGCGUGUAUGAAGAAGGCCUUCGGGUUGUAAAGUACUUUCAGCGAGGAGGCGUUACUCGCAGAAGAAGCACCGGCUAACUCCGUGCCAGCAGCCGCGGUAAUAC